UUGGCAAUGUCCCAAGCACACUUGGGCCUGGAGAACUAUGGUUCUUCCUCGCCAACCUGUGCAUUCCUGAGAACAGUAUGUAUCUCCCAGACUUCUCAGCCUGUGACCAUCUGGGUCUAUUUCCCACACGCUCUUGAUUAAUGUUGUGGUCUGUUUGUUUGUUUUCCCCUUGGGAAAUCAGUGCUGUUCACAGUGGAGCUACCAUCAUGAGCUCCUAUCUCCAGGUUCCUGCCUUGGCUGACCCCAGUGAUGGACUGAAAUCUACACAUCAAGAUACUUUUGAUCAUUUUUUUUUUAAAUCACAGUACCAGAAGCCUAACUGGACCAAUGCAAGAUUAUUCAUCACAUCAGGCUUCCUUGUUGAAUUCUGGAUCACCCCAUAGCACGGAAAAGUGUGGCCACAGUAAAUGAGGUGUGUGAUACCA